CCGGGAGUCCGCGCGCAGCGGAGCCGGGCAUGCUCAGUGCGCGGCCAAGGAGGCGAUGCUGGGCGCAGCACCUGCCUGGCCCUGCCGUGAGGAGGCAGCCCCAGGUCCCCACGCGCGAAACUAGGAAAGGGCACCUCGCCUGUUCCUCAGGCCAAAGGAAAAGAUCAACCAGAUUCUCGUGCAGGGACGUAGGGGUCAUCCUGCUCAGCGGCCAGGGAUAUGCCAAGGCGAUGUCUCCUUCAUUUGCAACCCGAGAAUCGGGGCACAAGGAGGCGCGACCUCCCGCGGUACUCAAACCUCUGGCCUCCGGGAUACGCGGAAUUCGGGGAAUCGUUAAGGCUCCCUGGCCAGGGAAACAAAUGUUUCUGCGUCUGGGCUGAAAAUUGCUGAACCGGGGAGUGUGGGUGGGCGGGUGGCACUGAACUUAAGCCAGAAGAGGGGCCUUUGGGAGCCUUUUACCUGCCUGCCCUUAGGCGGAAGACAUUGGCUAGACAGGCUGCGUUACAGACCUGAAGUCACCCGUGCAACGUGCUUUCAGAAGUGGCUCCCUUCACUCCCACUCCAAACCUGAGAGUAAGUAACCUUAGAGACUGGCAGCAAUGCCCCAGCCCCUCACCAGCAGUGUGCAAAGUGACUUUAACAGGCAGAGGAGAGCCAACCCAGUCGAACUCAUCUGGAAUACAUUUCGAGCAACCCAGAGAGAAGCCUCGGUUUCUCUGGGAAAAAGCCCCAAAGGUUUUGCUGAACCCAGGUCUUCCUGCUCAUCUCUCAGCGGUUCAGAGUUACAUAAACAACUUCUGACCAUUUACACACUCAUGUAAACCUAACCUGACAUCUCCAUUAUGUGGAAAAGAUGUUAACUGGAAAACUAUUUUUAAACUACUGUAGUAAGCAAAUAAACAUGCAACUCCAACAUAUA